ACGUAGGGUGCGAGCGUUAAUCGGAAUUACUGGGCGUAAAGCGUGCGCAGGCGGUUUUGUAAGACAGAUGUGAAAUCCCCGGGCUUAACCUGGGAACUGCGUUUAAAACUACAAGGCUAGAGUGUGGCAGAGGGGGGUGGAAUUCCACGUGUAGCAGUGAAAUGCGUAGAGAUGUGGAGGAACACCGAUGGCGAAGGCAGCCCCCUGGGCCGAUACUGACGCUCAUGCACGAAAGCGCGGGGAGCAAACAG
rnacentral:rRNA from 1 species